rnacentral:rRNA from 1 species
UACGGAGGGGGCUAGCGUUGUUCGGAAUUACUGGGCGUAAAGCGCACGUAGGCGGCUUUGUAAGUUAGAGGUGAAAGCCCGGAGCUCAACUCCGGAACUGCCUUUAAGACUGCAUCGCUUGAACGUUGGAGAGGUAAGUGGAGUUCCGAGUGUAGAGGUGAAAUUCGUAGAUAUUCGGAAGAACACCAGUGGCGAAGGCGACUUACUGGACAACUGUUGACGCUGAGGCACGAAGGCCAGGGGAGCAAACGGG